CUGAAUCCAUAGGUUAAUGAGGCGAACCGGGGGAACUGAAACAUCUAAGUACCCCGAGGAAAAGAAAUCAACCGAGAUUCCCCCAGUAGCGGCGAGCGAACGGGGAGCAGCCCAGAGCCUGAAUCAGUAUGUGUGUUAGUGGAAGCGUCUGGAAAGGCGCGCGAUACAGGGUGACAGCCCCGUACACAAAAAUGCACAUGCUGUGAGCUCGAUGAGUAGGGCGGGACACGUGGUAUCCUGUCUGAAUAUGGGGGGACCAUCCUCCAAGGCUAAAUACUCCUGACUGACCGAUAGUGAACCAGUACCGUGAGGGAAAGGCGAAAAGAACCCCGGCGAGGGGAGUGAAAAAGAACCUGAAACCGUGUACGUACAAGCAGUGGGAGCACGCUUAGGCGUGUGACUGCGUACCUUUUGUAUAAUGGGUCAGCGACUUAUAUUCUGUAGCAAGGUUAACCGAAUAGGGGAGCCGAAGGGAAACCGAGUCUUAACUGGGCGUUAAGUUGCAGGGUAUAGACCCGAAACCCGGUGAUCUAGCCAUGGGCAGGUUGAAGGUUGGGUAACACUAACUGGAGGACCGAACCGACUAAUGUUGAAAAAUUAGCGGAUGACUUGUGGCUGGGGGUGAAAGGCCAAUCAAACCGGGAGAUAGCUGGUUCUCCCCGAAAGCUAUUUAGGUAGCGCCUCGUGAAUUCAUCUCCGGGGGUAG
rnacentral:rRNA from 1 species